rnacentral:rRNA from 1 species
CUCUUUAAGCUAUAAUUUAAAGUCCAGCCUGCUCAAUUCUAACCGUAAAUAGCCGCAGUUCCCUGUGCUAAGGUAGCAUAAUAAUUAGCCCCCUAAUUAGGGGAUAGAAUGAAUGACUAAACGAGACGAUAACUGUCUCACGAGCUCAAGACGAAACUAAUAUAUUAGUAAAAACGCUAAUAUACAAAAGCAGGACGACAAGACCCUGAACGAACUUAUCAUUUAGCUGGGGCGGCUAUACAAAAAAACCUUGAUCCAAAACAACAACAAACAACUAGACCAUCUAAUAAUAGUUACCGCAGGGAUAACAGCGCAAUUUCCCUCAAAAGCUCUAAUCCAAAGGGAAGAUUACGACCUCGAUGUUGAAUUAAUUUCCUAAACCUGUGCAAAAGCAGUUAUAAGGUGGUCUGUUCGACCAUUAAAUAAUU